rnacentral:rRNA from 1 species
AUGAACGCUGGCGGCGUGCCUCAUACAUGCAAGUCGCGCGAACAGACGAGGAGCUUGCUCCUCUGACGUUAGCGGCGGACGGGUGAGUAACACGUGGAUAACCUACCUAUAAGACUGGGAUAACUUCGGGAAACCGGAGCUAAUACCGGAUAACAUGUUGAACCGCAUGGUUCAACAGUGAAAGACGGUCUUGCUGUCACUUAUAGAUGGAUCCGCGCCGCAUUAGCUAGUUGGUAAGGUAACGGCUUACCAAGGCAACGAUGCGUAGCCGACCUGAGAGGGUGAUCGGCCACACUGGAACUGAGACACGGUCCAGACUCCUACGGGAGGCAGCAGUAGGGAAUCUUCCGCAAUGGGCGAAAUCCUGACGGAGCAACGCCGCGUGAGUGAAGAAGGUCUUCGGAUCGUAAAACUCUGUUAUUAGGGAAGAACAAAUGUGUAAGUAACUAUGCACGUCUUGACGGUACCUAAUCAGAAAGCCACGGCUAACUACGUG